UUUCACUUCAGCAGCACGUAUACUAAAAUUGGAAUGAUACAGAGAAGAUUAGCAUGACCGCUGUGCAAAGAUAAGAAAGAUUAUAUUUUUAGUAAUUUAGUUUUU